rnacentral:rRNA from 1 species
UACGUAGGGGGCAAGCGUUGUCCGGAUUUAUUGGGCGUAAAGAGCGUGUAGGCGGCUUGGUAGGUCUCGCGUCAAAACCUGAGGCUCAACCUCAGUUCGCGUGGGGAAACCACCUAGCUAGAGUCCGGAAGAGGAGAACGGAAUUCCCAGUGUAGCGGUGAAAUGCGCAGAUAUUGGGAAGAACACCAGUGGCGAAGGCGGUUCUCUGGGACGGUACUGACGCUGAGACGCGAAAGCGUGGGGAGCGAACAGG